rnacentral:rRNA from 1 species
AUGGCCGGAUCCGACCUCCCGUACACCGGCUCCGUCGGCGGCGGCAUCUUUCCCCCGCCGCGGACCCCGCCGUCGGCGUCGAGGAAGCGCAGGCGCGGCGACAACGACGACGGGGCGCCGCCCUCGCUGCCGAGCCGCGAGACCCGGGCCUCGGUCGCGGCGCGGGAGGCCGCGGUCGGCGCGGUGCGGACGGCGCGGCGCGUGGCCGCGGGGGCGGUGUGGGCGGCCAAGGCGGGGCGGGGCCACGGGCGCGGCCUCGGCAACGUGGGGCGGAUGCGGGAGGUGCUCCUCACGGUGCGCGGCGCGCGCUGCGCCCGCGUCCGGAACGACGACGACGACGACGACUACCCGUACCCGCAGGAAAGCAGGAGUCCGGAGAGGCUAAAUUGUAAGAUCAGCUACUUAUCUAAUUAUCCGCUGAAACGUGUUAGAACAGACCCUGUCAAGCAUCAAGCUUCUGUCCCUGAGUGGAAAAAUGCUCCAUCUGUGGAAUAUACUGAUGAUUACAAAGCUGCAACCUUACCAAAACUGGGCACAGUUGUCUAUCCACUAAACAUGGAUAUCUCAGCAACUGACAAGUCAGAGAAGAAGAGGAAAAGAUUGGUAGACAAGUGUAAGUGUUCUUGUCCUGGAUCUGAGGACUGUGUACGAUUUCACGUAAAGAAGGCAAGGAGCUGGAUCAAGGAUCAGUUGGGUGAGGAAGCUUUCAAAAACUGUGGGCUAGACGCAAUGGGUGAGCAAGUUGGAGAGCAAUGGACCACAGUUUUCAAAAGGAAACUUGAAAAAGUUGACAAGUUGAUUCCUCAGAAUAAACAUCAGAAAUUCAUGGAGAUUGCCUUGAAGGAGCUCGGACAGAAGGAAACAAAGGAUUUGGCGAAGUAUUACUACAAUGUUUUUCUUCCCAGGAGAUUGGCAAGCUUGACCAGGGCAGAGCAUAAAAAGGAUGAAGCUGUCGAUACGAGUGAUGAAAAGAGUGAUCAAGAGGAUGGCGAGAAUGAACGUCAUCCUCGAAAGAAAAGUAAAAAAAGCUAUGGAUCUUCUUCCACAAGGUGCAAGAAGUAG